GACGAACCGUGCGAACGUUAUUCGGAAUCAUUGGGCUUAAAGGGCGCGUAGGCGGCGAUAUAAGUUGGAAGUGAAAUCCCAUCGGCUCAACCGUGGAAUAGCUCCCAGUACUGUAUCGCUCGAGGGGGAUAGGGGUCUGCGGAACUACCGGUGGAGCGGUGAAAUGUGUUGAUAGCGGUGGGAACGCCAGUGGCGAAAGCGGCAGACUUGACCCUUCCUGACGCUGAGGCGCGAAAGCUAGGGGAGCAAACGGG
rnacentral:rRNA from 1 species